rnacentral:rRNA from 1 species
CCAGACUCCUACGGGAGGCAGCAGUGGGGAAUAUUGGACAAUGGGGGCAACCCUGAUCCAGCAAUUCUGUGUGCACGAUGAAGGUCUUCGGAUUGUAAAGUGAUUUCAGCAGGGAAGAAAAAAAUGACGGUACCUGCAGAAGAAGCGACGGCUAAAUACGUGCCAGCAGCCGCGGUAAUACGUAUGUCGCGAGCGUUAUCCGGAAUUAUUGGGCAUAAAGGGCAUCUAGGCGGCCGGAUAAGUCUGGGGUGAAAACUUGCGGCUCAACCGCAAGCCUGCCCUGGAAACUAUGCGGCUAGAGUACUGGAGAGGUGGACGGAACUGCACGAGUAGAGGUGAAAUUCGUAGAUAUGUGCAGGAAUGCCGAUGAUGAAGAUAGUUCACUGGACGGUAACUGACGCUGAAGUGCGAAAGCUAGGGGAGCAAACAGGAUUAGAUACCCUGGUAGUCCUAGCUGUAAACGAUGAUUACUGGGUGUGGGCAUGAAGAGUGUCCGUGCCGAAGCUAAUGCGAUAAGUAAUCCGCCUGGGGAGUACGGCCGCAAGGCUGAAACUCAAAGGAAUUGACGGGGGCCCGCACAAG